AUUGGGUGUAAAGGGCGCGUAGGCGGAUACUUAAGUCUGGUGUGAAAACCUAGGGCUCAACCCUGGGACUGCAUCGGAAACUGGGUAUCUUGAGGACAGGAGAGGAAAGUGGAAUUCCACGUGUAGCGGUGAAAUGCGUAGAUAUGUGGAGGAACACCAGUGGCGAAGGCGACUUUCUGGACUGUAACUGACGCUGAGGCGCGAAAGCGUGGGGAGCAAACAGGAUUAGAUACCCCAGUA
rnacentral:rRNA from 1 species